AUUAAUUAUUGAAUUGCUAGGUAACAAACCAUCUCCAAAUUAAUGGCUUAAAACAACUAUGAUUUCUUAGUGCUCACGAGUAUAUUAUGGAUGGGCUUGAGCAUUGUGCUGACCUGGCCAGCUCGGACGAACUUGGCAGGGCUUACACUGUCAUCUGUCAUCAGCUGAUGGCUCAGUGGGGACUGAUGCAGUCUAGGGUGGUCUCACUUCCACGUCCAGUGAUUGGCUGGCUCUUGGUUGGAGUGAUGGGGUUGACUGGGCCACAUUGUCUCUCAUCAUCUGGAGAGCUAGCCCAGGCUCAUGUGAAGAGUGAUGACAGGUUUCCAAGGAAGCCAGCAGCAGCAUGCAAGACUGUUUAGGACUUAGGCUGACAAAUGGUACAACGUCUCUUCCUCUGUAUUCUGUUGGCCAAAACAAGUCAUAAGGCCAUUUCAGAUUCAAGAGCUGGAAAGUCACAUAAUAAGGAGUAUGGAUGCGGGACAGAGUGAAGAAUUGGACCUAUUUUUGCAACCACAUCCUUUUUAUUCUUUAUGAUGGUCUAGAAAGCAACCUGUCAUAUCCUUACACCUUAUUGAAUUUUAUGAACCUUGCCCAUGAAUCAGUUUGUCUCUGACAGUAACCUGGAUCUACCUUAAUGUGUAUGCAUCAUCAUCUCUAAGGCAAUAUUAUAGAUUAGGAAAAAAUCUGUGUUAAAAAGAGGGUGAAGGACACGUUGCAGAAAAAUUUCUCAAAUCUUUCAAUAUGUUUGUGUGCCUGUGAAUGGUUUUUGCAUUUCCUAAUCUUAUUUGAUCUUAUCUUCAAGGGGUCACGUGUGAUUCAAGGAUCAGUUGGUGGAAAAUGGUGUUUCAAGCUGUGUUUCCAGUCUUGGGCAUUCACCUAUGAAGUACAAGCUGUGGCAAGAAUCAACCUUCUAGAUCAAAGGGAUAUAAUGACAAAAGAAAAGGACGAAGUAUCCCCAGAGUAAGAAAUUCCAGACCAAAGUCAAGGCUGGACAGCUUCAUGGAUUAGCAUAUAUUAGAUGUUUCAUACUUGGAGCUUAUACCGUAAAGUAGCAUGGUCAACACACCAGCUCUUACACAUAGCAUAAGGACUACACCUGCAUACUCUUGAUUUACUUUAAUGUUUUCUUUCCUACCCCAAGACUGGAAAAAGCACCAGUUUUGAGAUUGUGUCUGAUUUUUCAUCCCUUGUGUGUUCCUACAGCUUUUUCCUUCCAUGAGUCUUUAAUAAAAUGGCUGAACACAUUU